GAUCUGCAUGAGGCCGUCCCGUGCUAGUACUCUGAGCCAACGACGUGCAGGUUGGGCUACUUGGGAGGGGUGUUAAGAGGGCGUUGCUGCAAAAGAGUGUGCGUGCUCAGUCAACCCACCCUGUCUAAAUAAAAGGUUCAUACGAAACAAUAAAAAUAAAAUACCAGAAGACACAACAUCUUAAAGUGGACUCGAUGUGGCAAGGACAGAGUUUCUGGGAGUACACCAGUUUGGUGGACCAGUACAUGUAGUCAGUGUGUGAAUCAGCACCAGUGUAUGCGUGUGUCCAUUACUCUGUGUUUGCUGAAUGUAUUAAAUGCAAUGGAACUUGUGCGUCAUUUUGCGAUACCCUAAUGGAGCACCCAAAUCCAGUCUAAUCCUCUAAAUCAAUCUCCAGUAACAAAUGUCAAAUUCAAGGCUAGGUUGAGCCAUUCGCGUGUUAAAUCAGCAUGUUCCUCUUGUGAGUGCAGAUUAAAAUAUUAACACCUCAGUAUUAUUUGUGGCAGGGCUUAAAUUCUUCCUGAGAAGGUUCAGACGCAAAAGAGACGUGGAGAGCUCAGACCCUGGAGGGAGAGUGUCUGCUUGUGCAGGCUUGCCACGAUUGACGUACGACAUAGUUCCCGUAGGCCUGCAUACUGGCGUUUUUCUGUGAUGCAACGUGCCUACGAAACGGGUAAUUUUUGUCACGGCGUUUAUUGUCCUGGCAAAUUGCGUUCCCUCUGAGAAAAACACUCACUGGCUUCUGGCGUUUCUGGAAAAGGUUACUUGAAAGAACAUCGGGCGCAGUCCAUAGGACAACUGACUCUUAGUCAUGUGCGAUUCCCGUACGUGGAUGGGGGUUACAAUCCCCGCCAAGGAACUUUCUUUGCUGUGGUCUCUCCUCUGUCUGAAUAAAGCAAAACAAAUAUAACAUAGAGAUUGGAGGAUGACCCUGAACUCUCCUUUAAAGAAAACAAGAAAAUAAUUCAUCAAUCUCUUCUGAUAAACUUGGCAAUCGCUUCUGAUAAGUUUUACAGCAUGUAGUACUCACACCGUUGUGUCACUUGUGAAUACUGGGUGCUUUGCUAUAGACUUUAAUAAUAUUCCCAUAACCGUCCUGGAUGUUUGAGUGUUUGUAUGCGAGAGGUGAUUCAGAAAAAUAAUGAUAGCUGAAAAAUAAUGAUAGCUGUUUUAUUUGAGUGUAUUUGCAUGUUAUUAUGCAGAAUAAAGAGUAUUAACACAGUUUGGAGAGUUGAUUUCAGUGAUUGUUAAAACCUCAAAGAAUGUGUUUGCAAAGAAGAAAAUGAAUGCUUGAAUUUCGAGUAAAAAGCUUAUUUAGUCCUUAAAUGAAGUCAUUACUAUUUUUAAAAUGAAAUUCUGAGACCAUCUUUAAUAAAAUAAGAUCAUUUUAAAAAUAAAUUUAAAGAUGAUCUUUUAUCAAGAAGCACACACAAUUUUUGGUGGCUGGCUUCAAAUCAAGAUCAUUGAACCAUCAUUGAACCCUUGGAAUAUCAAGAUCUGACUUCAAUCAACUGGUAUUCAAUCGACAUUUGUCUUAAAUUUUUGCCCAAAAGGAAAUUAUUGUUGUCAUUUCCCCUGUUGCCAAAACAGGUUACAUUUUCAUUUCAUUAUUUUAGCCAAGGUGCUUAUCCACAGCGAUUUACAUUACCAUGAUUGUGAGCAACAGUGCUAGAUCUGGCUGAGGACAUUAACAGACCAGCUAGUGUAAGGCGACGUUAGCAAAGCAGUAAAUGCCAGUUAACUUAUGCUAACCUGGAGCCAUAAUACAAAUCAGAUUCAAACAGCUCACGAUUAUGAAACCCUGGAGCAGCUACUAUAACAACCCUAAAGUCAUUCUCACAAUGGAAAACAAAGACAUAAAAAGAAAGAACAGUGUGAUCAUUAGCUCUAAGAGAUUUAUAAGUGGUUAAUUGCCAUGGUGGUUGCGGCUGGAGUGUGCAGCACAUGACUGAAGAAAUCUUCCCCUUUUUUUCUGUUGUUUACUCGGCGUGGUUUGCAAGGCUAAUGGUGCUUUUUCUGCGAGGAUAUUUUGGCCGCCUCUGACGGGGGACCAGUUGCGCCCCUCUUGCUUUAACGGAUUAGUCAGUCUGGUCUGAAUCAGUGUGCCUAACGGUGACUCACCCCCGAUGCCUUAAAUCACAGGAAUGCCUGUAAUGUAGGUCACAUUAUCGCCAGAUGACUUUGGUCUCCGGCUGACUCAGAAUCCUCCUUCUGUCCUGCGGGUUUCUGCAUUCUGGGCCACAUUAUUAAAAAAAGUCCCUUCCUGGGGAAGGGGAAAGUUGUCAUGGGACUUCAAACCACCAUAAAAUUGAAAAGUGCGCACCUGUGAAGCCUCUACGGGUGUCCUUUCCUACUGCCCACUGCCAAGGCUUUCAGAUAACCAAAGCUUUUUGCAAAUUUCUGGAAUCUUCCCUGUGCUUUGAAUGAAAGAUGGAUGCUCUGUAGUUCUUCUUUCACCCUAUUUUGUUUGGAAAGCUUAAUAUGCUUAAUGUGAAAUGAAAACACACAUGCGACUGUCAACUGUGGGGAAGUCAUGGCAUAAAAAUAACACUUUUGAAUGUAUACAUUAAUAGUACUGAGCGUGCUAUCAAGUUGAACUUCUAUUGAAAACGAAAAAAGCUGAAUCAGUAUAUUAUGGUAACAGUGCUGUGUCAUUCACAAGUAUUUGUAACAUUAUUGUGGAUGCAGUGUAAUUUGUAUUUUAAUUUGUUUUAUUGAUAGUGUGCCUUCCUGUAUUUGCCACGCAGUAUACAUCGAUAUUAUAUUAAGAAUGGAAUAGCUGAUGAAAAAUGAGCAGAAAUGAGAAAAAAAUGAAUACAUUCCUACUCAGUAUUUUCUGGAAUGUUCCUUUCUUGGAGGAAUGCAACGUGAGCUUUCCUACGGUUUAUUCAUACUUUCUCCUCAUCUGGGAUCCAUUUCGGGUUGUCAGGGAGACAGAGCUGGGCGUGGUUAGUGGCAGGCCGAGAGCAGGACCCAGAGGCCAUCCCAUAAAACAGAUGGGCCCGUGCGGGAAAAUGGGAUGACCAUUCUCGAUUUCCCCAACAUUAUAUCAGUAGUCUCUCUUCUUUCUUUUCAAAUGCUGUAUUUACAAGAAGACAUUUCACAUGGGAGAGGAAAAAUUUUGUCAACAUAGUUUUAAAUCUAAUAAGCAAAUGAUAUCAUGAUAUGUCAUUGAACCUCCAGAAAAUGGCAGGCCUUUUGGUUGCAUCACCUCAUAAUUAACAGUUAUUUGAUGAGCCAGCUUUAUUACUCAAAACCUAGAUGUUUUAUCAAAUAAAUGCUUUAGAGUUGAUCUUCAAGGCCAGUGCAUGGGCAAAUAAUGAUAUCUUGUCCACAGUUGGAGCUGAGAACAUUGCAGAACCAAAUUACACCCCUGCAAAAACACCACAGAUAUUUAUGCAAGGUAAUUUCCAAACUAGGUGAUGAGGCCCAGUUACUAUAAUUAAGUUCUGGCAUGAUACUGUAUUUAAAUGUGGCAUCACAAAAACGUCAUUAGGAGGUGUUAGCCUCCGUAGUCACAUGCUUUGCUUAUCCCUUUUGACUGGCAAAAAAGGCCCGUUUUGCAUGAAAGUCAGUUUGGACGCGAUGUUAUCUCGGAGAGCGGCUCAAACAGGUCUGCGUGGCUGAAGUAGGUCAGCCUAUGCGGCGAGUCAACAGUUCACCUUUUCAACAGCCUAUGCUGCGUUGCUGACAGACAAGUGGCAAAGUUGCCAUGGGAACCCCUACCAGUACAACACAUAACCUAAUGAGAUUAUAUAAUUAGAUUAUUAGAUGUGAUCACCAGGGAGAUAUGUUCCUCUAAUCGCCAUUCUUCUCAGUCAAAUAGUACAUGUAUGCUGCACCAUUUUUGUUUACGUUAUAUUAUUAUGAUGUUAAAGCGGUGUAAAGAAAGUAGGCUACUCAUACUUUUUCGAGAGGGUUAUGUCCAAUAAUAUUAGACAGUUUUACAGACAACCCAUGUUGUCUCAAAAUUUCCUUGUGAACAAACUGAUUCACAUGUCAGGUCCUUGUUAAAGCAAAAUAGGGUGCCACAAUUAGCAGUAGUGCAGUAAUGUACAGCAAAAUGUACUAGUCAAAGCUAGUGUCUAUGAGUGAAGUUUUCUAUGAACGAAGAUAAGAUACAUUGAACUACAUUACCUGUAUAUGAAUGCUGUUACAAUGCUUUGCAAGAUUUGUGUGCGACCAUAUGACAUUUAAAUCUGAUAAUCUGAUUGAUUUACGGUGUAGUUCUCAUGAAAUAAAAAAGCAUAUAUGCUAUUUUGUGUCGUGUUUUCCAGUACUCAUGCCACAAUCUUCAUGCCCUGCCCAUAGAAAUAUGGACCGUAUGUUAUUUUUUAUUAUUUUAUUUUUUCACCAAAGGACUCAUCUGUGCAAAUCAAAACGUAUGUGAUUAAACUGGCACUGUUGGAAUUUUCACUCCUUGGAAAAAAGAUCGAAGGAUAAGAUUGGUGUCAAAUUUAAACUCUAACAAAGAAAAUGUUUCUUUAAAGCUGGAUGCUUCCUAGAGUGACACUGUUCUGAAAUGAAAAAAAUUUCUCAGAAAACAGAGUCUUAAAUGGCUCCUUAGGUAGCAUUUAGCGUGUGGAUAGGAUCUUACUGGAGAUUAAUCCAUUUGAUAUUUCUGGAAAAGAAAGGCAAGUAUUGAAUAUUAAUCCAGAAGUGGGGAAGGCAAUGCACUCUGGUAGAUUUCUCUCCCUGAAUUCUACUCAUUGUCUACACAUAUGUUUACAUAUGUUUUCAACUGCCGUGGCACCAAAGAGUGGCAGUACUACCAUUUUUCAUAUAUUCAGUUGAACCAUAUGUAAUAUGCAAAGCAUAUUACUUAAACAUGAAAAUAAUGUAUUGUGAUUGAAGACUUUGUGAUGGGAUUUCAAGGUCUGACUAAACGGCAUUACCUCGAUGUCUGUACUUCAUAGCUAACAGCGGUCUGUGAACAUGAAGGAAAGUAACACAUUUUAAACCAAGUAGGGCCUUUUUUUGCUUUAGAUGAAUAAAUGCCUGCUCUCCAUAGGACCACAAUUUACAUUUUCAACGCCCAAUCGCUGCCACUGCUGUCUAAAAAUUCUGAGUAGCACUUGUCAUUUUUCUGUGAGAGACAGAGACUUGCCUGCCACUGGAAAAUAUUUUUAAUGGGAUGUUUUUAUAAAUAUUAAUUUCGUUCAGUUAUAUCAUAGAAUAACCUGGCGUGCUUUUGAAGUACGUGUUCUCCGCAGUGUAACGCCGACAGGGCUGUGCUUCUGGAUGAGGGAUUGAAUGUUGUCAACAAGAGGUCCUGUUUAUUUAGCAAAUACUGACUCUCAAUUCCCAGAAAUGACGUCUUUUUGUUCUUUUUCAGCUCCGUGCCACCGACAUAUCGGUCGAGAUGGGAUUGUUUACCCUUCUGGACUGGAAUGGAGAAAAAUAGAACGCAUGGCGGCUCUGUCACCAUAUUUGGUCACAGCCUACGAAACCUGUAAUGUUUGAUUUUGGAGGUAAAUGUACAACCCUGGGCCUGUGUGGUUUUGCACAAAUCCACCUCAGCCGGCUGCCAGUGUGUUAUUCCCGUUUCCUGUCGUCAUCAAUUCUAUUCAAGUCAAUUCAAGCAUUCCUCUUUCUGGCCAAGCCAUAGAUGAAUUUCAGAUAAAGUUCAAUGGAACCAUUUCCUUUGGAUUUCAAAUGAUGUGUUUCAGAUGAGGAAUCAGUAUAAGCUGGAUAUAUACUGAAGCAAUUUCGGUUAAGUACCUUGCUCAAGGGUACAACGGCAGUGUCCUACCCGGGAAUCGAAUCUGCGACCUUUCGGUUACAAGCCCAGUUCCUUACCCACUGUGCUACACUUUGUCAGAGUACUGCCCGCUUGGCGGUACACGGGGCGAAGACUGAAUGGAGACCGACUGGCUGCUCACAGCUCUGACGACGCGGGCUGUGCGUCUGUGUCGCCCGAAUCCAUCUCGACGUAAGCCGCGAAACUACCCGCACCGGCGCACAAUCCUUCAGAGGGCCGAACCGAAACCGACGUCAGCCGACGUUCGUCACCGCGGAAGCUGGGAUCGGCGUGCGGCGAACACAACGGGACCUGUACGCACGGCGGGCUGCGCCGGCGUAUUAUUGUGAAAGUUUGUAAUGUCUCUGUAUGUGUCCCACUGCAGACACAUCUACAGUGAACUGAUCUUUACUGCCCCCCUCCCUCUUCAAGCAUAAGAGAUGUUCACACUGUCUCUCUAUGAGUCCCACUGCAGACACAUCCACAGUGAACUGAUAUUUACUGCCCCCCCCUCCCUCUUCAAGCAUAAGAGAUGUUCACACUGUCUCUCUAUGAGUCUCACUGCAGACACAUCCACAGCUACAGUGGCCUGAUCUUUACUGCCCCCCCUCCCCCCUUCAAGCAUAAGAAAUGUUCACACUGUCUCUCUCUAUGAGUCCCACUGCAGACACAUCCACAGCCACAGUGGCCUGAUCUUUACUGCCACCCUCCCCCCUUCAAGCAUAAGAAAUGUUCACACUGUCUCUCUCUAUGCAUGAAAAAAAGGUAAUAUUUCAUACUGGAGAUCCCUUUAGAAAUAUAUCUGACUCAGUGGUUGGCCUCAUAGCAAAAUAAAGUAGAGCUGAAAGUGGCUCUGCUUAUCAAAGUAAAUUUAAUCUCUCUAAGAACCUAUUCUUACGCUUCGUACGCAAUAACAUUCAGUCUAUGCUGUGUUGUUCCAACUCAUCCGUGAAUCUUUUGUGCUCAAAUUGUCUGAAUACAGGACUACUCCCAAACACUGACACAAUGGAGGCUUUUGUCCUGUGUACAUUUUGUCCUGUAAUUUAGCAGUCAAUGAAAGUAACUCGUCACACUGCCUUUGUAAACGAAACCAAAAAGUCAAAAUUAUAGCAAUAUCUGUUCUUAAGAGACACAAUCCAGAGUAUUUCACAAGAUCAUCUACCAUUCAGUUCUCUCUCUCUUCUUCCCUGCUUUCUCUUUCCCUGUAUUUCUGAGCACUCAUAUCACUCCAUGCUUCCGUAUCUUGUUACUCUGAACCCUGAUCUUGGGCUUGCCGUUUCUAGAAGGCACCAUUGUAUUCUUGCUGAAGAUUUAAUGAGCAGUAUCUGAAGGUACAUGGUGUGCAUUUGGAGUUCAUUCGAAGGCUCCCCCUUCAUUCUCAUUACCCCAGGUUCAACCAUUUAUUAAUGACUAUACAUGACAUGAGAGGACAAAUCCUGUUUCUGUUGAUAAAUGUGAAGACUGCCAUUAUGGCCAGUUUGGGAAUGAUGGAAGUGAAAGAAAAAAAAAGGCAAAUGCAAAAAAAUUAUUAACAAAGCACCAUUAGCUAGGCUUUUUUCCCCAAAGCAUACCAGCCAGUGCUCUUUCUUAUGCAGUAGUCUGCUGGGGCACUGGUGUUACAGUAGGGGACAGGAAUAGAGUAAAUAAACUGGUCCCAUCAUUGGCCUGUCACCCGACUCCUUGGCGACUGUCACCGAGUGACACAUUGGGACUAAAACCGACACGAUUCCGAGGCACGGCGACCAUCCCCUGUGUGCAGCUGUCGUGGAACUGAGGAGCGGGUUCAGAGACUGUCUGGUACUGCCAAGAUGCUCAACUGAACAUUUUCACUGGUCUUCCUGCUCACUGUCGUCAGGUAUGUUAAUGACCGUAAAGCCAGUGGCAGAGAUGAAUAGUUAUAUUGUUUAUUUAAAAAUGGCAUUGUAGACAAUGCUGUGUAAUCUGUCCUGUAUGCACAGUGUGCUGCUUGGUCUGUUGUAAUUAUUGUGUCUUUGUAGCUGUCUAUUUUUUUUUUUAGAGUGACAAGCAAAUUUCCCUGUUGGGUUUAAUAAAGGAAUCAAUCGAUAAAAGUUAAUCAUAAUAUUUUAAAGGAAGAUAUAGAACACUAAGCUGACUCGUGAUGAGGGACUAGAAACGGUGCCAGGUGACAGGACGAUGUUGGGAAUGUGAGACAGCCAAGGUGGAAAUGCCAGUCGCCCUGAGAAUUGAGGAAACAGAAAUUUGGCCUGGAAUUUUUUUUUUUCUCAUAAAAAGGAAGAAGAAAUGUGAAUAUCUGAAUUCAGGGCUACCCAAAGCCAUACUUGGCCCCAGGUCAGUGGAAGUUUACUUUAAUAUGUUAUCACUCCAGUUUGCACGUAAAUUUCUUUAAAACAAUAAAAGAAAUUUAAAAAAAAUCUUUGCUGUAAUGUUGCCUAAUUAAAUAGCAGCGUUGCUAUGACAUUAAUACCUAUUUGGAAAUUUACUGAGGGAUUGAGAUGAAGUAUUUUGCCUAAGGGUACAAGAGUAGUGCCACACCUGGGACCUAAACACACAACCUUCUGGUGACAAAUCGGUUUCCCAAUUCCAGUUAUUCAGCAUGGUUUGAGGGGGUGAUGGCUUCACCAUAGAAACAAAAUAAUGACAUGUCUUAUUCAAAAAAAAGAAGAAAAAAAACUUUCAAGUGUCCCUGGGAAAAAGGAUUCCUUAGAAAAAUGGGUCUUCCUGGCAAAUUAAGGUUCACUGACAUUAAAAAGAAAAUAGUUGAAUGCAUACAAAAAUCAGAAUUACGUCAGAACUGUUGAAAUUAGUAUGAAAUAAUUUGAGGCUGUGGUAAUUAUGGAUUUUUAAAAUUCUAUAUUUCAUAUUUAUAUUAUUAUAUUUCUUGUGCAUCGGCUUCACAAAUAUCCAGUGUUAUCAAAUUGUACUACUAGCUGCUUUAGAAGCACCACCACAUUUCUUAUUAAGCCAUUUCCUCAUUGUCUUAACAUUUUUUCAACAUUUAACAUUUGCCUCCAUCUUACAUCAAGCCAGCCAUCUUACUUACUGUCAGUUAAUCAGAGAUUUUUGAAAAAUCGAAUAAAAACAAGAAACAUUUUUCAGUCACCAAAUCAUGUCCUGCUGUCACUACGCAUUUCAAAGUGACACUCCUGUGUGAUGGGUAGAAGUGUCACCUGAGAAGAAACAAUUAAUUUUGACAUGGCUGCAACUCUGUUGACCCGACACACCCAUCAAUUAAUCUUAUAAAAACAACCGACAGACAACCUGGGUCAACCUGUUUUCUUGUUGAUUAGAAAACGUGUGGAGACGGUGGAGUUUUACCAGUCCCCUAGUUAACUGGCAGAAGCAGCAGGUGAGAUUUUACACUGUCUCUGUACAAAAGCCAAGGUUUUUGUAGGUCACACUGCUGGAAGUGUACAAAAGAGAACUUAAUGAACCAAUUUAACAGGCGGUAUAUUGUUCUGAUUUGAGCUGGAUUUUCCGUGUCUGACUGCACUUUGCUCCGAACAUGUGGGUCACAGUUCACUUCUGAAUGUGCGACUUCUUGCUUGUGUUUUCCAACGUGAGAAACGGUAAUGUCAUAUGGACACUGUAUGUACAGCGUCCUGCCAGAAUGGAGCCUGCUCCUGGAACACAGCUGAAGCUAAGGAGUUGUUGACUUGGCUGGUUCUUGGCAGCACCUUGUUGAAUCCGUGGUCCAAGUCCACACGAUACGCACAUACGGCGACUGUUCUGUUUGUCCCGGAAGCCAUUUUGAAUUUGUCAGUCAUAGGCGAUGACAGGAGGCCACCGGGUCUCUCAGUGACAGCAGCCAGCUGUUCAGAAACACGUCAUCCAGGCCCACUAAAUCUCCUCUUCUGUAAACAUUGACUUUUCUCAGCUGGUCUCCCCUGUUGUCACCCGGAAAGCAACACAUUAGCACUCCUUUGUGAAAGACACAGCUUAUUUCUUUCAGUUACGGGGUCUACUUUUUUUUCUGUUUCAAACAAUGGCGUCUGCUCAGUUUGUCUGCAUGGUUUGUCAGUGUUACAUAAUUGUAGAUUGGAGAACAUAUUUUGUAAUCUCGCAGAACAAUCGCGAUAGUGGGUGAAGUUAAGGGAUUGUGAACCUAUGAUGUCAUAUAAUGUGGCAGGCUCCUUGAUUUGUGUAUCAUUUGUUCCUACUAUAAGAAAACUUCAGCUCCUUUGCCAAACUAGUCAGCACUUUGGAAUGUUGUUUGCUCAAAGGAUUUAGGAGUUUGACUUAGUGAACAUUGUCAUGCGUAAGCACAUUUGCAUGAGACCAUAAAGAACAUCAUUCAUAGUACAUACCUUUGUGCUGAAAUAAUUUUAAUUAUUGAAUUCUUUUAAAUUUUAAACAUAAUCUCAUACUGAAACCAUUUUAAGUGGUUAAAUUUAUGAAAAAAACUCUUGUAAAAUGCUUGGCAAAAGUUGUCUGCAUAGAAAAGAAAGCCAAAAACCAAGCACCAAGAAAAACCCCUUAUAAUUACUAUUUAUAUAUUGGGCAGACUCAUAACGAAGGUACAUUUCACAAGGUAAGCCAACUCCAUCCGAGCUAGAAAUAAGUACAUUUAGAAAUACAGCGAGCACUGUCGUCUGUGUAUACCCCAGAGAUGAAGGGAGAAGAGAAAAGGCAGAUGGAAUGCAGGCAGUGAAUCCGCCUUCCGGACUGACUGGGGAAGGUUGUCCAACCAUCUGGGAAGAGGACGGAGAGGAGCCGGGUCUGUGGGGACCCUGUGUGGCUGCCAAGUGACUCACGACAGGCCAGGGAAGCGUGUCUCAAGUCCGUCGGGUUAUUAGCCCAUUCACGUGGCCAGUAGUUCUGUGUUCUAGCAUGACGUCUGAGGAAAUCUGCUUCCUCAAUGUAGUGUACUGUCUGGUUUCUUGUGCAUUUCUGUAGCAUUUUAUUCUACAAGGAACAAUGUGAACUUUCUUGGUAAAAGGUUUUUGGUGAAAUGGUCCUUUUUGGUCUCUGUUUCCCUGAACUGGUGUCAACAUCUGAUAUGUUCUGGUAUGUUUAAGAACGUUUGAUAUGUAUCGUGACAGUUGCCGUGGUUGUCUGAUUUAUAUGUACUCUGUUCCAGCCCUAAGCCACUCCUAUUCCGGCUUCUGUGCGUGUGUGAGUGAGUGUGUGUGUGUGUGUGUGUGUGUGUGUGUGUGUGUGCGUGUGUGUGCAUGUGUGUGUCUGUGUGUUUGUGUGGCCCAGAUCUAGUUGUCUUCAGCUGAACAAAAAAAAAAAAUCACCAAUAAGGACAUUUUACUUUUGUGCUUUUGUUAGGCAAGCCUUGAAGUGAAUGAGCAGGAGAUUAGCAUCUCUAAGUUCAGCAGGGCAAGCCUGACGUCCCGGAGAUGGUGGAGACUGCACUGCACUGCCUGGCCCUGCUAGAUGCCUGCCUUUCAACCGACAAAGUGCUCCGUUUCAGCUACAGCCUCCUGCCGAACGCUCCAAAACCACAAUGACACAGAUGGUCACGAGAUUGACACCGAGCAAGUCACAAUCCGCAGUGACUCAGACCAAAAGUGUGUGGGCUCCAACCUUUAAAGAAUAGAGUUCAUCUGCCCGUGUCUCCUCAAGCGAAUAUUCAUUCUUGCCCAGACUUUCUCACAUUGUUGUACACUGUGACCACUCCACCACACACGAGCCAAAACCAUUGUCUCGUAACUCUCUUAAGACAGGGGUCCUCAAUCUAAUCCAAAAAGGGCCGGUGUGGGUGCAAGUUUUUGUUUCGGCCCAGCAACAUGACACCCGAUUCAACAAAUUAACAAGCAGAAUCAGGUAUCCAAGUACUGGGCUAAUACAAAAACCUGUACCCACACCGGCCCUUCAGGGUUAAGAUUGGGGACCCCUGCUCUAAGAGGUUCAGCCAGCAGUGGAGAUGAGAAGCCUCGAUCACUGCUUCCUUCUGAAGUUGCAGCCUGUUCUGCUCUCACACGUGUGUGCACUUUCACAGUUUCACCUGAGGUGUGAAUCAAGAAGCAAAACAGGAACCCGGGCACUCUGCCCAUAUACAAUAAUGCUAAAAUUCCUUUCUUACAUUGGCAGGUUCAAAACAGAAAAAACAAAAUACUCCAAGACAUUUUGGCAUCAGUGAAUUAACUAGAACUGCAGGACAAUGGCGUUGAGUAGGCAAACAAUUAUAAGGCUUAAUUAACUGCACCUUUGUCAAAAUCAAUCGGUAGAUUUGUGGCUAACGUGUUCACCAGUAGAAUGCAAAAAUGCCCCUGAGGUGUCCUGGGAGGGUGUGAUAUUAAGCCUGUAAUCAGAGUCUGGAAUUUUGUUCUGUGCCCUCACCAAAUUUGGAGCCCAUUAUGGUCGAUGUCAUGACAAAUAUUUUAUUCAGCUUGGGUUUUCCACAGAAACGUGGACCUGCAGAUUAAUAUCUCCUCUGUCACAUUACGGAAACCAAAAACAAAGAAAGAAACAAAUAAAAGAAGUCAGGAGACAACCACUUGCUUCAUACUGACUUGUUAUUAUUCCAGACCUCUUAUCAAAGCAUGAUUGUGGGUUAUUAAUUAUCAUGGGCGUGAAGCAGACUUCUCCAGUUUAUUAUUUUCUUUUUAGAAUCUUGUUCCUGAAAGAGGAAGGCAGAACAUACAUGUUGAAUUAAGUAAUGCAUACAAUAAUUAUUAUCAUUAGUAUGUUUAUGAUUAUAAUCAUCAUUACUGUAUGUCACCUAUUAUUUAGCAAACUUUUUUCUAGUACUUAUUUGACAACAUUGAUGAGAUGCUUGAACUUAAUGGAAAAUUCAUGUGGACAAAAAAAAUUAUAUUUAAUAAAAAUGUUGUUUUUUUUCUACCAUGUCCACUGUUGCCAGUUAUGGAAAAAAAAUAGUUCAUGCACAAAAAUGUAAAAAUACAAAACCAGACUUCUGAGGGUAAUUUUAUCUGAAAAAUCACAGUGUCCUGUUCAAGAACACCUAAAGCGAGACCGAUUCAAGACCUAGUCCAUCGAGGUCAGAGCUAGUUAAUCGAGUCAGACUCAAGACCUAGCCCAAGGGGGUCAGGGAGUCAGUGCAAGACCAUGACUGGAAGUGUCUUAGAUAAUGUAACUGUAAGUCAAAAUGUACUGUCAUAAACAAUUUCAAAAGAAAAAAAAUGGAUCCUGAGGCAUCACAAUGCAAAAUGAUUAUGCGCAUUACUAGAGCACAGAAGGCAACUCUGAUAGUUGCUAUUGGCCUAGCAGCUGGUGUAUGACGUUUUUCAUUUGAAAUGAACAGUCAUUGGUUCACGCAGCCUGGGCACAACCUAGUAUCAGGUCAUUUUCAACAAAUCAGCAGAUUAAUAUACCUCAUAUUUAUACAGUUAGCCUACGUUAUACCAAAGAUUUCUGGCACUGUUAACGACAGCUCAUGUUUUUUAAAGACUAGACUGAUCUCGGUAAAAAAUAUGAAUCUUUGUUGUCCAAGUCCAAGUCAAGAGUAAAAACACAUGCAAGACCGAGAUGGACCCUCAACAUUCAGUCUUGAGACUCGAGACUGAGACUGGUCUCGAGUGGCACAACUCCAGAAGGAUGCAUCAGGAAGCAGUACUUUUCAAUUAAUAGAGUCCAUUUGACUUUUGUACUAUUUUUUUAGAAUGCCGGAUCCGCAGGACGGAGUGUGGCACAGUGGGUAAGGAACUGGGCUUGUAACCGAAAGGUCCCGGGUUCGAUUCCCGGGUAAGGACACUGCCGUUGUACCCUUGAGCAAGGUACUUAACCUGCAUUGCUUCAGUAUAUAUAUCCAGCUGUAUAAAUGGAUACAAUGUAAAAUGCUAUGUAAAAAGUUGUGUAAGUCGCUCUGGAUAAGAGCGUCUGCUAAAUGCCUGUAAUGUAAUGUAAUGUAAUAUUUGUAGCACUCUCUUUAGUGUCUUAUGUUGAAACAGGACAGUGCACAGACUACAGAUUACCGUUGCGAAGUGGGUAGCUGGCUAUGUCUUGUGUUUCCUGUGAAUUUUAGCCUCUGAGCUUCACUUGUCGCGCAGAAAUACCACUUCAUCAGCAGCUAGUGUAUGCUGUCUGCAGGAGCUCGGGCUGUCGUGUGGUCUGGCCUGUGUGUAGCACUGUCUGUCUCCCUCAGCUCCAAACCCGCAACCAAUUCUGUUCCUUCCAUCCCCUCAUUUUCCCUCUCGCUCUUUCCCUCCGUUGGUCUGACCAUGGGUUUUUUCAGCAGCCCAUCAGCCCAGUCCCGGUCGGAACCAAAAACAAAGAAAGAAACAAAUUUUAAAAAGUCAGGAGACAACCUCUGAUGUGACCUGCUUAUCAUUCCAGACCUCUUAUCAGAGCAUGAUUGUGGGUCAUUAAUUAGCAUGGGGGUGGAGCAGAUUUCUCCAAAUUUUUUUCAAAAUCUUGUUCCUGAAAGAGGAAGGCGGAACAUACAUUUUGAAUGAAAUUAUACAUAAAAGAAUUAUUACGAUUAGUAUGAUUAGGAUUAUUAUCGCCAUUGCCAAAGUGCAAAACAAAGCGGUACAAAAAUAGCUUUGUUCCAGCAGCCAUCACUCAGAUGAACAAGUCGUAGCAACAUUGCAGAUUGAUAUAGAGGUUUUAUCUAUUUAUUUUAUUUAUUUUAUCUUUAGUUUUAGUGGUUUUAGUAAUGAUUGGAAUUUUGAGUACUUUCAUUUUAUCUAUUUUAUUUAUUUUAUUAUGUUUGUCUAUUGUCUGUUGUUUUUAAAUCGUGUCAAGAUGGAUGACUCUACUGCAAACCAAAUCUACCUACGGGUACGAAUAAAGUAACCUGAACCUGAACCUGAA